UACGUAGGCAGCAAGCGUUGUUCGGAGUUACUGGGCGUAAAGGGUGCGUAGGCGGCCGCGCAAGUCGAGUGUGAAAUCCCCGAGCUUAACUUGGGAAUUGCGCUCGAAACUACGUGGCUGGAGUGUGGCAGAGGAAGGUGGAAUUCCACGUGUAGCGGUGAAAUGCGUAGAGAUGUGGAGGAACACCGAUGGCGAAGGCAGCCUUCUGGGCCAACACUGACGCUCAUGCACGAAAGCGUGGGGAGCAAACAGG
rnacentral:rRNA from 1 species